rnacentral:rRNA from 1 species
GACGUAGGGCGCGAGCGUUGUCCGGAUUUAUUGGGCGUAAAGAGCUCGUAGGCGGCUUGUUGCGUCGACCGUGAAAACCCGGGGCUCAACUUCGGGCUUGCGGUCGAUACGGGCGGGCUAGAGUUCGGUAGGGGAGACUGGAAUUCCUGGUGUAGCGGUGAAAUGCGCAGAUAUCAAGAGGAACACCUGAGGUGAAGGCGGGUUGCUGGGCCAACACUGACGCUGAGGCGCGAAAGCCAGGGGAGCAAACGGG